rnacentral:rRNA from 1 species
UACGUAGGCAGCAAGCGUUGUUCGGAGUUACUGGGCGUAAAGCGUGCGCAGGCGGCGCGUUAAGACAGGUGUGAAAGCCCCGAGCUUAACUUGGGAAUUGCGCUUGUGACUGGCGUGCUGGAGUGUGGCAGAGGGAGGUGGAAUUCCACGUGUAGCAGUGAAAUGCGUAGAGAUGUGGAGGAACACCGAUGGCGAAGGCAGCCUCCUGGGCCAGCACUGACGCUCAUGCACGAAAGCGUGGGGAGCAAACAGG